ensembl:lncRNA
ACCCUGUUACCUGGUCAUCCAGGGCAUGCGAAGCACUGACGCCUCCAAUGAGUUGAUUUGCCUGAUUGAUAACAAAUGAGCUUAGUUCCUGACUUUUCCAACAUCUCUGCAGUGCCUGAAACUCUAGAUGAUGAUGCGAUGAACACACGGCAUUUUAUUUAUUAGAGAAAACUUGGCUGAAUCAACCGGAUUCCUGCAGUUGGACUGUAACACACAGCUGGAUAAUUGGAAGACUUUCAAAGAUCCAUUGGGUUGUUUUCAUACAGAGUUCUGGUGUCAGAUAGAUGGAACCACCUUGGGGAAGUCUUAAUUUUCACAACUGAAAUCUACUAAAAUCAGACAGGAGGGUGACUUGAGCCCUGCUGGACAUCACUGUCAACUCUGGAAUGCUCUCCCUGUUAUGUCCAGCUGCAAGAAUUCCUAACACACCAUCGCACGUAUCCUAAGAAUGACAGGCCUAGCAGAGAACCUUCAAGAUUCAGAGGGGACCCAAGAUUUGUCACUUCAUACCUGCAAUCUGCCAGACACUGACCAGAUUCCCAGAGGCGUCAACCAAGAAACAGUAAACAUUCGAUGACACCAUCUUUUCACCUUCCCUGUGUCCUCCUCACUCCAGGGAGAAAGCAAAGAGGAAACUGCUCAAGGAAAGAUACAGAACAGAGAAGUUUAUUUUACACUAUCCGUCCAAGAAAACAAUCUCCAUAAAACCAGUGCAAAAUGUGUAACAGAAUCCGUAAGUGUGUCUCAGCUCAGAAAGCCCAAAGUGGUGAUUCCCUCUCCCGCUCCGCUGGCCAGCAGGUACCCCUCGGCCAAGGCCGGCCUCGGUGGGCACCGGCGACAGAAACAUUCAACCCAUUUGUAGCAGGUUAUUUUUACAAUUCAUACCAGAGUGUGUACAGG